UACGUAGGGACCAAGCGUUGUUCGGAUUUACUGGGCGUAAAGGGCGCGUAGGCGGCGAAUCAAGUCAGUUGUGAAAUCUCCGAGCUUAACUCGGAACGGUCAACUGAUACUGUUUUGCUAGAGUGCAGAAAGGGCAACCGGAAUUCUUGGUGUAGCGGUGAAAUGCGCAGAUAUCAGGAGGAACACCGGUGGCGAAGGCGGGUCUCUGGGCCGAUACUGACGCUGAGGCGCGAAAGCCAGGGGAGCGAACGGG
rnacentral:rRNA from 1 species